CUGUUUACCAAAAACACAGCACUUUGCCAACUCGUAAGAGGAAGUAUAAGGUGUGACGCCUGCCCGGUGCUCGAAGGUUAAGAGGAUGCGUCAGUCGCAAGAUGAAGCGUUGAAUUGAAGCCCGAGUAAACGGCGGCCGUAACUAUAACGGUCCUAAGGUAGCGAAAUUCCUUGUCGGUUAAAUACCGACCUGCAUGAAUGGCGUAACGAGAUGGGAGCUGUCUCAACCAGAGAUUCAGUGAAAUUGUAGUGGAGGUGAAAAUUCCUCCUACCCGCGGCAAGACGGAAAGACCCCGUGGACCUUUACUACAACUUAGCACUGCUAAUGGGAAUAUCAUGCCCAGGAUAGGUGG
rnacentral:rRNA from 1 species